UACGGGGGAGGCAAGCGUUGUUCGGAUUUACUGGGCGUAAAGGGCGCGUAGGCGGUCAGCACAAGUCAGUUGUGAAAUCUCCGGGCUUAACUCGGAAAGGUCAACUGAUACUGUGCGACUAGAGUGCAGAAGGGCAACUGGAAUUCUCGGUGUAGCGGUGAAAUGCGUAGAUAUCAGGAGGAACACCGGUGGCGAAGGCGGGUCUCUGGGCAACAACUGACGCUGAGGAGCGAAAGCAUGGGGAGCGAACAGG
rnacentral:rRNA from 1 species